rnacentral:rRNA from 1 species
ACAAUGGGCGAAAGCCUGAUGCAGCCAUGCCGCGUGUGUGAAGAAGGUCUUCGGAUUGUAAAGCACUUUNAGCNGGGAGGAAGGGCAGUGUAUUAAUACNUNCANGUCUUGACGUUACCCACAGAAUAAGCCCCGGCUAACUCCGUGCCAGCAGCCGCGGUAAUACGGAGGGUGCAAGCGUUAAUCGGAAUUACUGGGCGUAAAGCGCGCGUAGGCGGUUUGUUAAGUCNGAUGUGAAAUCCCCGGGCUCAACCUGGGACGUGCAUUGGAAACUGGCNAGCUAGAGUGUGGNAGAGGGAGGUGGAAUUCCANGUGUAGCGGUGAAAUGCGUAGAGAUUGGAAGGAACACCAGUGGCGAAGGCGGCCUUCCUGGACAUGU